GUUAUAUGGUCAAGUGAAGAAGCGCAUACGGUGGAUGCCUUGGCAGUCAGAGGCGAUGAAAGACGUGGUAGCCUGCGAAAAGCUUCGGGGAGUCGGCAAACAGACUUUGAUCCGGAGAUCUCUGAAUGGGGGAACCCACCUAGGAUAACCUAGGUAUCUUGUACUGAAUCCAUAGGUGCAAGAGGCGAACCAGGGGAACUGAAACAUCUAAGUACCCUGAGGAAAAGAAAUCAACCGAGAUUCCCUUAGUAGUGGCGAGCGAACGGGGAUUAGCCCUUAAGCUUCAUUGAUUUUAGCGGAACGCUCUGGAAAGUGCGGCCAUAGUGGGUGAUAGCCCCGUACGCGAAAGGAUCUUUGAAGUGAAAUCGAGUAGGACGGAGCACGAGAAACUUUGUCUGAACAUGGGGGGACCAUCCUCCAAGGCUAAAUACUACUGACUGACCGAUAGUGAACCAGUACCGUGAGGGAAAGGCGAAAAGAACCCCGGAGAGGGGAGUGAAAUAGAACCUGAAACCGUAUGCGUACAAGCAGUGGGAGCCUACUUGUUAGGUGACUGCGUACCUUUUGUAUAAUGGGUCAGCGACUUAUAUUCAGUGGCAAGCUUAACCGUAUAGGGUAGGCGUAGCGAAAGCGAGUCUUAAUAGGGCGUUUAGUCGCUGGGUAUAGACCCGAAACCGGGCGAUCUAUCCAUGAGCAGGUUGAAGGUUAGGUAACACUGACUGGAGGACCGAACCCACUCCCGUUGAAAAGGUAGGGGAUGACUUGUGGAUCGGAGUGAAAGGCUAAUCAAGCUCGGAGAUAGCUGGUUCUCCUCGAAAGCUAUUUAGGUAGCGCCUCAUGUAUCACUCUGGGGGGUAGAGCACUGUUUCGGCUAGGGGGUCAUCCCGACUUACCAAACCGAUGCAAACUCCGAAUACCCAGAAGUGCCGAGCAUGGGAGACACACGGCGGGUGCUAACGUCCGUCGUGAAAAGGGAAACAACCCAGACCGCCAGCUAAGGUCCCAAAGUUGUGGUUAAGUGGUAAACGAUGUGGGAAGGCUUAGACAGCUAGGAGGUUGGCUUAGAAGCAGCCAUCCUUUAAAGAAAGCGUAAUAGCUCACUAGUCGAGUCGGCCUGCGCGGAAGAUGUAACGGGGCUCAAACCACACACCGAAGCUGCGGGUGUCACGUAAGUGACGCGGUAGAGGAGCGUUCUGUAAGCCUGUGAAGGUGAGUUGAGAAGCUUGCUGGAGGUAUCAGAAGUGCGAAUGCUGACAUGAGUAACGACAAUGGGUGUGAAAAACACCCACGCCGAAAGACCAAGGGUUCCUGCGCAACGUUAAUCGACGCAGGGUUAGUCGGUUCCUAAGGCGAGGCUGAAAAGCGUAGUCGAUGGGAAACAGGUUAAUAUUCCUGUACUUCUGGUUACUGCGAUGGAGGGACGGAGAAGGCUAGGCCAGCUUGGCGUUGGUUGUCCAAGUUUAAGGUGGUAGGCUGAAAUCUUAGGUAAAUCCGGGGUUUCAAGGCCGAGAGCUGAUGACGAGUCGUCUUUUAGAUGACGAAGUGGUUGAUGCCAUGCUUCCAAGAAAAGCUUCUAAGCUUCAGGUAACCAGGAACCGUACCCCAAACCGACACAGGUGGUCGGGUAGAGAAUACCAAGGCGCUUGAGAGAACUCGGGUGAAGGAACUAGGCAAA
rnacentral:rRNA from 1 species